rnacentral:rRNA from 1 species
CCUACGGGAGGCAGCAGUGGGGAAUAUUGGACAAUGGGGGGAACCCUGAUCCAGCGACGCCGCGUGAGUGAAGAAGUAUUUCCGUAUGUAAAGCCCUAUCAGCAGGGAAGAAAGAAAUGACGGUUCCUGACUACCAAGCCCCGGCUAACUACGUGCCAGCAGCCGCGGUAAUACGUAGGGGGCAAGCGUUAUCCGGAUUUACUGGGUGGAAAGGGAGUGUUGACGGGGAUGCAAGCCUGAAGGGAAAGGCGGGGGGCCAACCUCCGGACUGCUUUGGAAACUGUGGGGCUGGAGUGCGGGAGAGGUAAGUGGAAUUCGUGGUGUAGCGGUGAAAUGCGUAGAUAUUAGGAGGAACACCAGUGGCGAAGGCGGCUUGCUGGACUGUAACUGACGUUGAGGCUCGAAAGCGUGGGGAGCAAACAGGAUUAGAUACCCCUGUAGUC